CACACACUAUUUUAAGAAUACAGAUCUUUAUAUCUACUUUCUUAAGUGCCUUAUCGUUAGUGAAUCUACAUAAUAUCGAUCAACUUCCUACAAUUUUAUUUCUUUGAUGUUGCUUUUUUACUAAAAGUAGCUGCCAGAAAAGAAAAAUAGUGUAAUUUAUAUGGUAAGAAGUUACAUUUGUUAGGUGCUUCAAUAUGUCUAUUUUGGCCUCUUUUAAUGCCCUUAUUUAAAACUAGUAGAGAUAAUGUUACAGAAUUAGUGAUUUCUAAUAACUGCUAUUUUUGAUCCAUCCACUUAUACUUAUUCAGAGUUCAUUACCUGAUUAUGUUCUGACCCUGAAAGAGGUUUUGCUCCUCAGAUGAAAAAUAGAUGACUGUUAUGAUUAUCUCAGCAAUAUAACAAAUUACCAUCCUUGUGAACUUUUAGUCAUUGGCAAAGGCCUUCCACAUUUUUCUACCUAUGCAAGAAUUUUACAAGAUUAUAUGGAAGUAAGUUCUAUAAAGGAAAUUGUUAAAGGUUUUAGGUUAAAUUUAAUCUUAUAUUUGAUCAUUAUAUUGUUGGUAUUAUAAAAACUGUACAUGAAGCACUUUUUUGAUCUGAGCAAACCUCAAUUAUGACUCAGAAGAACUAGUUCUAUGUGCUUUUUAUGACAUUAAAAUUUCUUAUCGCACAAAGCAUUUUACUAAAUACACUUUGUUCUUUGAAUGGGAUAUGUCUAUGACCAAAAACAAAAAAGAAUGCAGUUUUUACUUUAUAUAUUCAAAUAAAAUACAAAUGCAGACACUAUGUAAUCUGGGUUAAUCAAAUGCCAAUGAUACACUUGAU
rnacentral:lncRNA from 1 species